UAGGGAAUCUUCGGCAAUGGACGAAAGUCUGACCGAGCAACCCCGCGUGAGUGAAGAAGGUUUUCGGAUCGUAAAACUCUGUUGUUAGAGAAGAACAAGGACGUUAGUAACUGAACGUCCCCUGACGGUAUCUAACCAGAAAGCCACGGCUAACUACGUGCCAGCAGCCGCGGUAAUACGUAGGUGGCAAGCGUUGUCCGGAUUUAUUGGGCGUAAAGCGAGCGCAGGCGGUUUCUUAAGUCUGAUGUGAAAGCCCCCGGCUCAACCGGGGAGGGUCAUUGGAAACUGGGAGACUUGAGUGCAGAAGAGGAGAGUGGAAUUCCAUGUGUAGCGGUGAAAUGCGUAGAUAUAUGGAGAAACACCAGUGGCGAAGGCGGCUCUCUGGUCUGUAACUGACGCUGAGGCUCGAAAGCGUGGGGAGCAAACAGG
rnacentral:rRNA from 1 species